UUUGCGCCGAUUUCCUUUUCUAUUCUUCUCGUGCCCUAGCCAUCACCACCGUCCGAACUCCUCUUCCUCUCGCCUUUGCCCAACGCCGUUGCAGACGCUGCCGUGGGAAGGAGGGAGCUGCGGAUCUCUUCGUCGCCACUCCUCUCCUUUCUCUCUGCGUCGAGUUCCCCUCUUCCUCGCGAUUUUCUCCUCUCCCAUGUUCUGCCGAACGUUGCCAACCCGUCACCAUCGCUGGUCGUCGUUCACGGUCACCUCGUCGCCGCCUCGGCCGGAAGUGGCUAGCUCGCAACCAGACGCGGCCAGCCGCAACCACUGCUGCUCACCCCAAUUUCGAUCAGUGCCCUAGUUCUCCAUCGCCGCCCUCUGCCCUAAACCGAGCACGUUUCCUUCCUCUGCACAGGAGCCGCCGCUGGUUUCUUGACAGCCAUGAGCGAGGUCAUCAAACUGUCGCCGAAUGUUGAAAGAUAUCAGAUUUGGCUUGAGCAUGCCGGAUUUCUUCGUUUGUUUUGAUGUACGUCUAUAUGAUGGUGGGGAAUUUCUGUACUGGUGUGGUUCCCGGAUUUUGAUCCGAGAUGAGACACGUCUCGACGUGGGAUUGUAUUGGCACGAUUAUCGCAAUGAAGGCGGGU